rnacentral:misc_RNA from 1 species
GAUGAAGAACGUAGCGAAAUGCGAUAAGUAAUGUGAAUUGCAGAAUUCAGUGAAUCAUCGAAUCUUUGAACGCACAUUGCGCCCCGUGGUAUUCCGCGGGGCAUGCCUGUUCGAGCGUCAUUACACCACUCAAGCCUCGCUUGGUAUUGGGCGACGCGGUACGCCGCGCGCCUCAAAUCUUCCGGCUGGUUCGAAUCGUCCCUCAGCGUUGUGGAAACUAUUCGCUAAAGGUGCGCGUUUCGGUCACGCCGUUAAACAAGCCAAUUUCAUUAAAGGUUGACCUCGGAUCAGGUAGGGAUACCCGCUGAACUUAAGCAUAUCAAUAAGCGGAGGA